rnacentral:rRNA from 1 species
CAGUGGGAGCACGCUUAGGCGUGUGACUGCGUACCUUUUGUAUAAUGGGUCAGCGACUUAUAUUCUGUAGCAAGGUUAACCGAAUAGGGGAGCCGAAGGGAAACCGAGUCUUAACUGGGCGUUAAGUUGCAGGGUAUAGACCCGAAACCCGGUGAUCUAGCCAUGGGCAGGUUGAAGGUUGGGUAACACUAACUGGAGGACCGAACCGACUAAUGUUGAAAAAUUAGCGGAUGACUUGUGGCUGGGGGUGAAAGGCCAAUCAAACCGGGAGAUAGCUGGUUCUCCCCGAAAGCUAUUUAGGUAGCGCCUCGUGAAUUCAUCUCCGGGGGUAGAGCACUGUUUCGGCAAGGGGGUCAUCCCGACUUACCAACCCGAUGCAAACUGCGAAUACCGGAGAAUGUUAUCACGGGAGACACACGGCGGGUGCUAACGUCCGUCGUGAAGAGGGAAACAACCCAGACCGCCAGCUAAGGUCCCAAAGUCAUGGUUAAGUGGGAAACGAUGUGGGAAGGCCCAGACAGCCAGGAUGUUGGCUUAGAAGCAGCCAUCAUUUAAAGAAAGCGUAAUAGCUCACUGGUCGAGUCGGCCUGCGCGGAAGAUGUAACGGGGCUAAACCAUGCACCGAAGCUGCGGCAGCGACGCUGAUGCGUUGUUGGGUAGGGGAGCGUUCUGUAAGCCUGCGAAGGUGUGCUGUGAGGCAUGCUGGAGGUAUCAGAAGUGCGAAUGCUGACAUAAGUAACGAUAAAGCGGGUGAAAAGCCCGCUCGCCGGAAGACCAAGGGUUCCUGUCCAACGUUAAUCGGGGCAGGGUGAGUCGACCCCUAAGGCGAGGCCGAAAGGCGUAGUCGAUGGGAAACAGGUUAAUAUUCCUGUACUUGGUGUUACUGCGAAGGGGGGACGGAGAAGGCUAUGUUGGCCGGGCGACGGUUGUCCCGGUUUAAGCGUGUAGGCUGGUUUUCCAGGCAAAUCCGGAAAAUCAAGGCUGAGGCGUGAUGACGAGGCACU